CCUCUAUAAGAGAUAUGCUCCCUAGGGCUAUCUACCAACUUGAGCUUUUUCAGGUUGGAUUGCAUUCCCACAGACAAAUGUAUGAACCGUGAGCUCUACCAUCACUGAUUGGCAUUUCCUCCUCCCUCAAGACAGAUCCACUAUACCUGAGGCCAAUUUAGAAGGAUCUACAUGGAUCCAUUGAGCUUUUUCAGGUGAGAAGGCACAGCUGUCUGCAGUGAUCCUGCUCAGUUACUUGGCAUUGCACAUUCCUAAGAGUGAAGCUCUGGAAUGCGCAAAGGUCUUGGGGGCUCUACAAUCAGUCGCCAGGAGUCCACUGGCACAGGAUUCCUCUUUAAGAGAUAUGCUCCCUCGUGCUAUCUACCAACUUGAGCUUUUUCAGGUUGGAUUGCAUUCCCACAGACAAAUGUAUGAACCGUGAGCUCUACCAUCACUGAUUGGCAUUUCCUCCUCCCUCAAGACAGAUCCACUAUACCUGAGGCCAAUUUAGAAUGAUCUACAUGGAUCCAUUCAACUUGAAAUGAUUUAUCAAAGUAUGAUAUCAUGUUAUUCCGUCAUUUAUUGAGAAACUGAUUGUGGAUCUGAAGAUGCUAUGACAGCUUCAGUGGAUGGUUUCUGGGUAUC
rnacentral:lncRNA from 1 species